AAAGUUCUUCGGGGUGAGGUGAAAUUCCUCGAUCGGCGGUGACAGGCCGCGACUCCCGUGAAAAUGGGACUGAACCGGUGCAACUCCGGUCCCGACGGUAUAGUCCGGAUGGAAGAAGAAAGGA
rnacentral:ncRNA from 1 species